GGGGAUGCAGCUCAAAUGGUACAGCACUCGCCUUGCAUGCGAGAGGUACAAGGUCCGAUCCCCUACAUCUCCA
rfam:Lupinus angustifolius cultivar Tanjil chromosome LG09, whole genome shotgun sequence.